rnacentral:rRNA from 1 species
UACGUAGGGGCAAGCGUUGUCCGGAAUCACUGGGCGUAAAGCGCGCGCAGGCGGUCUCUCACGUCCGGGGUGAAAGCCCAGAGCUCAACUCUGGGAUUGCCUUGGAUACGGGGAGACUUGAGGAUCGGAGAGGCAAGGGGAAUUCCACGUGUAGCGGUGAAAUGCGUAGAGAUGUGGAGGAACACCUGUGGCGAAGGCGCCUUGCUGGCCGAUUUCUGACGCUGAGGCGCGAAAGCGUGGGGAGCAAACAGG